AACGCACAUUGCGCCCCUUGGUAUUCCAUGGGGCAUGCUUGUUCGAGCGUCAUUUGUACUCUCAAGCUUUGCUUGGUGUUGGGUGUUUGUCCUUACCUUUGCGUUUGGACUCGCCUUAAAUUCAUUGGCAGCCUAUAUAUUGGUUUGAAGCGCAGCACAUUUUGCGGUUCUGUCUGAUACUAUUAGCGUCCAUAAAGCAUAAUUAACACUUUUGACCUCGGAUCAAGUAGGGAUACCCGCUGAACUUAA
rnacentral:misc_RNA from 2 species